GAUGAACGCUGGCGGCGUGCCUAAUACAUGCAAGUCGAGCGAACGGACGAGAAGCUUGCUUCUCUGAUGUUAGCGGCGGACGGGUGAGUAACACGUGGAUAACCUACCUAUAAGCCUGGGAUAACUUCGGGAAACCGGAGCUAAUACCGGAUGAUAUUAUGAACUGCAUGGUUCAAAAGUGAAAGACGGUCUUGCUGUCACUUAUAGAUGGAUCCGCUCUUCAUUAGCUAGUUGGUAAGGUAACGGCUUACCAAGGCAACGAUGCAUAGCCAACCUGAGAGGGUGAUCGGCCACACUGGAACUGAGACACGGUCCAGACUCCUACGGGAGGAGGCAGUAGGGAAUCUUCCGCAUUGGGCGAAAGCCUGACGGAGCAACGCCGCGUGAGGGAUGAAGUUCUUCGGAUCUUAAAACUCUGUUAUUAGGGAAGAACAUAGGUGUAAGUAACUGUGCACAUCGUGACGGUACCUAAUCAGAAAGCCACGGCUAACUACGUG
rnacentral:rRNA from 1 species